rnacentral:lncRNA from 1 species
GGGGAAAUGGCGGCGGCGGCGCACGAGUGAUAUAGAGGGGAGGAGGUCAGCUGUGGCGUUGCAGCUUCGGUGGCUCGCCGGCCGGACGAGGACGUGCGGGGGCUCCUGGACGGCGGCAGGAUCGGGCACCUCUGGGAGUUGGCUGUUUGUUUGUUAGAAGGAGUUUUUUGCAAAAAAAAAGUCUAACGUUAGUCCGAACCGUUAUGCCACGUCAGCUUUUGUGGGCGCCACAUGUCAUAAUUGUCAUCAAAUGAACCAAAUCCGUCAAUUAGUGUUUUUUGCAAAAAAUUAGCCUCGAAAUUAGUGGUUUUUGGCACAAAACUGUAGAAGUGUGGUUUCUGCAACCCUAGCCUUCAAUGUCGAUGUUUUUUGCAAUUCACUCCCCCGUGUAGCAUACACUUGCAAUCUUGAAAUAGGACCAUGUUUUCGAACAAAUCGAAAGAGAUCGAAACUGUUGUACCAAAAGACAAUCAACUACCUCCUUAAUUAAAGUACGAACUACCAAUAUCCAAAGAUAACCUUCAUGGCUUAUACGUUAUUCAGGUAAGUAGUGGUCAGAGAGACCUUAUUCUAAUGCGUCAUUGUUUACCACCACCUCAUCGAUGCCGCUAGUAAAUCAAAACCUAAGGAAAACAAUGACCUACUAGAACUAAGACAAAUGAAAGGGGCAUGUCCCCACUAGACUAGCAACCAAUAAGGACGCCAGAUGAGAGAAGGAGGGGCAUCGAGGCACGACGAUGAGAAAACCUUAGUGGCAGCUAGGGUAGGGGCUGACUACGUGUUUCUAGGGGAGAACGAGGACAAUGUGUGAGUCAUGACUUUUUAACAGUGAACCAAACAUAUGAUUAAGAAACCAUCCUAAAUUUCGUAGGGUCCCUAUGGAUGAGCAUCUUGCUGCAAAUGCAUUUUCUUAUGAUUAAGGAUAUGUUUAUCACAUAUUAUGUUGGUAAUUCGUCAUGUGUAACUAAUGUUGGCUACUUCUAAAAGUUUGGCACAUUGAUGCGAGGGUGGUACUUUUAGAUCUAUUUGGGUUCAGAUUUGCCCGAACAAAGAGUCAUAUUAGGUUACAAGUACCAAAUAGUUAGUGUGUUCUUGUAGAAUCGUGUUGCGAGGAGGGGGGUUGUUAUGUGACAUGUGUUUUCUAAAUAGUGUUAGAGUUAUGUUGAUGAUGCCCUUUGACAUUUCACAUUCUAGUCUUGUGGCAUCCCACUUGUACAUAAAUAAA